rnacentral:rRNA from 1 species
AUAAACAGCCAUGCCACCCUGAACUCACCUGAUCUUGAUCAAGAUCUCGGAAGCUAAGCAGGGUUGGCCCUGGUUAGUACUUGGAUGGGAGACCACCUAGGAAGACCAGGUGCUGGAGGUG